rnacentral:rRNA from 1 species
AACGAACGCUGGCGGCAUGCCUAACACAUGCGAGUCGAACGAGACCUUCGGGUCUAGUGGCGCACGGGUGCGUAACGCGUGGGAACCUGCCCUUAGGUUCGGAAUAACUCCCCGAAAGGGGUGCUAAUACCGGAUAAUGUCUUCGGACCAAAGAUUUAUCGCCUUUGGAUGGGCCCGUGUUGGAUUAGCUAGUUGGUAGGGUAAAAGCCUACCAAGGCGACGAUCCAUAGCUGGUCUGAGAGGAUGAUCAGCCACACUGGGACUGAGACACGGCCCAGACUCCUACGGGAGGCAGCAGUGGAGAAUAUUGGACAAUGGGCGAAAGCCUGAUCCAGCAAUGCCGCGUGAGUGAUGAAGGCCUUAGGGUUGUAAAGCUCUUUUACCCGGGAUGAUAAUGACAGUACCGGGAGAAUAAGCUCCGGCUAACUCCGUG